UACGGGGGGGGCAAGCGUUGUUCGGAAUCAUUGGGCGUAAAGCGCACGUAGGCGGCCUUAUAAGUCGGAUGUGAAAUCCCUCAGCUCAACUGAGGACGUGCAUUCGAAACUGCAAGGCUCGAGUAUGGAAGAGGGUCGCAGAAUUCCCGGUGUAGAGGUGAAAUUCGUAGAUAUCGGGAGGAAUACCAGUGGCGAAGGCGGCGACCUGGGCCAAUACUGACGCUGAGGUGCGAAAGCGUGGGGAGCAAACAGG
rnacentral:rRNA from 1 species